CGUGGGGAGCAAACAGGAUUAGAUACCUGGUAGUCACGCUGUAAACGAUGUCGAUUUGGAGGUUGUUCCCUUGAGGAGUGGCUUCCGGAGCUAACGCGUUAAAUCGACCGCUGGGGAGUACGGCCGCAAGGUUAAAACUCAAAUGAAUUGACGGGGGCCCGCACAAGCGGUGGAGCAUGUGGUUUAAUUCGAUGCAACGCGAAGAACCUUACCUACUCUUGACAUCCAGAGAAUUUAGCAGAGAUGCUUUAGUGCCUUCGGGAACUCUGAGACAGGUGCUGCAUGGCUGUCGUCAGCUCGUGUUGUGAAAUGUUGGGUUAAGUCCCGCAACGAGCGCAACCCUUAUCCUUUGUUGCCAGCACAUUAUGGUGGGAACUCAAAGGAGACUGCCGGUGAUAAACCGGAGGAAGGUGGGGAUGACGUCAAGUCAUCAUGGCCCUUACGAGUAGGGCUACACACGUGCUACAAUGGCGUAUACAAAGAGAAGCGACCUCGCGAGAGCAAGCGGAACUCAUAAAGUACGUCGUAGUCCGGAUUGGAGUCUGCAACUCGACUCCAUGAAGUCGGAAUCGCUAGUAAUCGUAGAUCAGAAUGCUACGGUGAAUACGUUCCCGGGCCUUGUACACACCGCCCGUCACACCAUGGGAGUGGGUUGCAAAAGAAGUAGGUAGCUUAACCUUCGGGAGGGCGCUUACCACUUUGUGAUUCAUGACUGGGGUGAAGUCGUAACAAGGUAACCA
rnacentral:rRNA from 1 species